UACGUAGGGUGCAAGCGUUGUCCGGAAUUAUUGGGCGUAAAGAGCUCGUAGGCGGUUUGUCGCGUCGAAUGUGAAAACCCGGGGCUCAACCCCGGGCCUGCAUUCGAUACGGGCAGACUAGAGUUCGGUAGGGGAGUCUGGAAUUCCUGGUGUAGCGGUGAAAUGCGCAGAUAUCAGGAGGAACACCGGUGGCGAAGGCGGGACUCUGGGCCGAUACUGACGCUGAGGAGCGAAGGCGUGGGGAGCAAACAGG
rnacentral:rRNA from 1 species